rnacentral:sRNA from 1 species
UUAUUAGAAAGAUUAUUAUUAUUAGAUUAUUAAAGAUUAUUAAGAAAGAUUAUCUUACGCUCUUUGAUUUAUAUUUGUACAUUCAUAAUUCCGUCCUUUUUUAUAAAAUGAAAGAAUAGGCAGGGAAGGAAUAUAAAUAUAUUGUUCUAGGUGCCAGUUAUUAAAUAAUAUUUUAAUAGACAAUACCAAACCCAAAUUCAAUCAAAUCGCUUGUUUUACAUUAGAAGACGCAAAGAAAAGAGUAAUUACCUAUUUCUUAAGUGUUUUGAUGGCAUCAUCUUCAUCGGGGAGCAACGAACAAACCAAAACCGUUCCUUUGAAUUUGUUAAGGAGGGAAGAUGCUGCCAUGGGAUUGAGUGGAUCGGUCUGUACGACUCCCCCUUGCUCGUGUCCUUUUCAGGUUUCAGUAGCGGGAUCAGACUACCCAUCUUCUAAACAUUGGAUACUAUAAUAGUGAUCAGAUAGGCUGAGGACAGUUGUAAGUUAAUCGACUCUAGGCAGAUCCAGCGCUUUGCGCGACUUGGUGCCACGGAUGACAUUCGUAGCUUCGUGCGUAGUUGUUGUUGUAGCUGUGUGUUGUGCACUGAAAAAUUCGAUCGGGCCAAUGAAAGACUCCGUCGGGUCAAUGCGGUACGUACAACCGGCUGCCAUGGGAUAACACGUUAAUUUGUGAUGGCUGUCCAGCGGCACGGAGAUCACGGAUAUACGAAUGGCUCCCCUCCUAGCCUUUUCACUCUCGGGUCAUUAAAUUGACGUUAAGCUAUUGAAAAUACCUCGCACAUAUCGCCGGCAUUUUUUAUUUAAAAAAAUGUUUUCCAAGCAAGCAAAUAAAAAACAAAACAAAAAUCAGA